rnacentral:rRNA from 1 species
UACGUAGGGCGCAAGCGUUGUCCGGAAUUAUUGGGCGUAAAGAGCUCGUAGGCGGCCUGUUGCGUCCGCUGUGAAAUCCCGGGGCUCAACCCCGGGCCUGCAGUGGAUACGGGCUGGCUGGAGGCAGGCAGGGGAGAACGGAAUUCCUGGUGUAGCGGUGAAAUGCGCAGAUAUCAGGAGGAACACCGGUGGCGAAGGCGGUUCUCUGGGCCUGUACUGACGCUGGAGGAGCGAAAGCGUGGGGAGCGAACAGG